rnacentral:lncRNA from 1 species
AUGAGGAAGUUAUUCAAUUGCAUGUAUCCAGGACACGAGUUACCAGCCCAGCUGCCCAGGAUAAGUCAGAACACUGCGGGGCUGCAUGCUGCCUCUGAGGACCAGGAGAUGAGGAGGCCUGUGACCAACACCCCUCCGGAAUUCCACAGGUAGCAUGGUGGCCUGAAAUGAAUGCCCGGUACUUAGACUGUCAGUGCUUGGUUCUCAUCAACGAAGUGGCACAAGUUCAGGUAUGUCCUGUUGCUGACAAUUAAUCACUCUUCUGACCCAUUACAAAUAGACUUAACUUUGUAAUCAGUGUGAUCUUCAAUCCUACUUUCUUGACUGUGAUGUUGUUUGCCUGUGAAAAUAGCAUGGCUCGUGCCAUGAUCUCUGGUAGGACUCAUUGCCACACUCUGCUGCAGGGUACUUACUAACAAGGCAGACACUGUAUUUCCUGAGUUUUCCUUUAAGACUGCUUAAAGAUUGAGUUACUUCUGUAAUCUGUAUUCAGUGUUACAACACAGAACUUCCUUAUCCAGUUUGCCAGAUACAGUGUAUAGAGCUUGUAAAUAAAGACGCAUUUAAUUUCCA